UAGCAGGUAAAAGAGGCCUCCUCAGCAGCACGCUGAAAAUCAAAGAGGGCGGCCGAAGGGCCGAAGGAUUCGGACUGCGGAGGAAAGCUUCGUCCUCGGACCCCACCUCCCUUCACCUUCCCGGCAAGACGAAGGAGGCGAAGGCUCAUUAGUGCCUUCGUUAAUUGACACCUGUAAUGAGGAAACUUUCCAAGAGGUGGCAGCUAGAGACUUUGAACUCCGGAAAGAAGGCUCCAAGGAAUAUUUGUUACUGGUUUAAAACAAUCAUGGUAGGACUGAACCUGUGUUUCAGUCCUUGCAGUGAAAUGUGAGCAGAAAUCUGUAGAGUGGGUCUUUUGGAAAAAAUGGCCGAUUACUAAUAAAAAAGGGACAAAUUCUA